rnacentral:rRNA from 1 species
GGAUGGUGGCGGACGGGUGAGUAACGCGUAAAGAACUUGCCUCUUAGCCUGGGACAACAGUUGGAAACGACUGCUAAUACCGGAUAUUAUGAACUUACGGCAUCGUAGGUUUAUGAAAGCUAUAUGCGCUAGGAGAGAGCUUUGCGUCCUAUUAGCUAGUUGGUGAGGUAAUGGCUCACCAAGGCGACGAUAGGUAGCCGGCCUGAGAGGGUGAACGGCCACAAGGGGACUGAGACACGGCCCUUACUCC